AUUGAACGCUGGCGGCAGGCCUAACUCAUGCAAGUCGAACGAGUGGCGGACGGGUGAGUAAUGUCUGGGAAACUGCCUGAUGGAGGGGGAUAACUACUGGAACCGGUAGCUAAUACCGCAUACCAUCAGAUGUGCCCAGAUGGGAUUAGCUUGUUGGAGGGGUAACGGCUCACCAAGGCGCCGAUCCCUACCUGGUCUGAGAGGAUGACCAGCGAAACUGGAACUGAGACAAGGUCCAGACGCCUACGAGAGGCAGCAGUGGGGAAUAUUGCACAAUGGGCGCAAGCCUGAUGCAACCAGGCCGCGUGUAUGAAGAAGGCCUUCAGGUUGUAAAGUACUUUCAGCGGGGAGGCGUUACCCGCAGAAGAAGCACCGGCUAACUCCGUGCCAGCCGCCGCGGUAAUUC
rnacentral:rRNA from 1 species